rnacentral:rRNA from 1 species
UACGUAGGGUGCGAGCGUUAAUCGGAAUUACUGGGCGUAAAGCGCGCGUAGGCGGCUUUGCAAGUCGGGUGUGAAAUCCCCAGGCUUAACCUGGGAACUGCAUUCGAGACUGCAUUGCUAGAGUAUGGGAGAGGGAAGUGGAAUUUUCCGGUGUAGCGGUGAAAUGCGUAGAUAUCGGAAGGAACAUCAGUGGCGAAAGCGACUUCCUGGACCAAUACUGACGCUCAUGUGCGAAAGCGUGGGGAGCAAACAGG